rnacentral:rRNA from 1 species
AGAAUCAACGCUGGCGGCGUGCCUAACACAUGCAAGUCGAACGCGAAAGUGGAGCAAUCCAUGAGUAGAGUGGCAAACGGGUGAGUAACGCGUGGGCGACCUGCCUUCGAGUGGGGAUAACAUUCCGAAAGGGAUGCUAAUACCGCAUGACAUUCUUCGUUUAGAUACGAGGUAAUCAAAGCCGGGAGCAAUUCUGGCGCUUGAAGAGGGGCCCGCGUCCGAUUAGCUAGUUGGUGGGUAACGGCCUACCAAGGCUUCGAUCGGUA